AUUGCAGAGCCGCACAGCUGGGGACCAGAUCCUCACGGUGAGAGGAGCUGCUUCGUGCUCACCCUCAGCCCAAGGAAGACUCCUGGGGCGAAGCCACACCUCGUUCCAGCCUGACCCAGACGGAGCGGAAGGGAGAUCCCUGAGACCCUGCAGCUGCCACCAUGAGCUCAUUAGCUUUCUUGUGCUUAGACAUAGAGGACUUUUUGAAGGCUGUCAUUAAGUGUUUGCAAACCGUAAUAAAGAGUGAGGAGAUGAAACGUCUGCUCACUCAAGUCCUGGACAGAAUUCUGGCUGAGAUCCGUUUGCCCAGGGAAGAGGCAGAUGCACUGUGUGAGUAUCUGGAGGAGCUGGAAACAGACUUGAGCAUGAAGAAUAAAGAGCAGCUGGAUAGAAAGAGGUUUUUGACGAGGUUUCCUCACAUAAAACUGGAGCUCGAGGAGCGUAUAGGAAAGCUGCAUGCGCUUGCGGACAAGGCUGACAAAGUACACAGAGACUGCACCAUCUCCAAAGUGGUGGCCACCUCCGCUGACGCUGUGUCCAGCGUCCUGACCAUCGUCGGUCUGUCUCUGGCACCUGUGACUGCAGGGGUCAGCCUAGCACUCUCUGCCACUGGGUUGGGGCUGAGAAUAGCGGCUUCUGUGACCAGUGUGUCCACCGACAUUGUGGACAAGAUCAGUCUUUCAUUAAGAGAAACUGAAGCCAGUUGCCUUCUGUCAACUGAUAUCAAAAAAUGGCACGUGGUCGUGCAGGUUCUAGUUAAGAACACCCCCAAAAUUGUUGACAAUGCACGGGUACUUGCAAAAGCCAUAGAACGCGUUGAAACCAACAUUAGAGCCAUGGAGCGGGUCAAAGUCAACCCUUGCUUAGAAGCUCACUCAAAUCUCUUAUGGACCGAUGAGGGAAUCGAAGCCUUAAGCAGCACACAGAGGAAGGCAGCUUUCAGAGGCAGUGCUCUGGCAAUGACCAAAAACGCCCGGAUCAUGGGAAUAGCCACUGCAGGUGUCGGCCUUCUGGUGGACGUGGGCUUCCUGGUGAAGGAGUCAAUCCACUUGCACAAAGGGGCAAAGACACAGUUGGCUGAAGCGCUGAGGCAGCGUGCCCAGAAACUGGAGAGGAAGUUGGAGGAGCUCACCUGCAUCUAUGACAGUCUGCAGGAGGGCCCGACUCCGCCACCCCCAGAGCAGUGCACGGACCAGACCCAUGUCCAGGGCCAAGACUAGGAGGUGCCUUUGUUUGAGAGGGAAAGAAGGGUCAAUGUAUCUCUGGAGCUGAGUGCAGCAGGGGAGGAAUUGAUGCAGAUGGCAGCUGGGUGCAAGACAAGGAAGGGGUGUGGAGCCUGCAAUAAGGGAGGAGAGGGGACUGGAGAGAGAGGGGAAUGGGAAAAACCAUCAAUUUUGGACUAAAAAAAGACACUGAGGCAUGAUUAAAGACAGAGGAAGGAAGGAAGAGGAAGAAAGAAAGAGAAAAGAAAGACAUAUAGGAAGGAAGAAAAGAAGGAAGGAAGAAAGAGGAGAGGGAGAGAGAGAAAGAAAGGGAAAGAGAGAAAGAAAGAGAAAAAUGAAACCAGACAGCAGCAACGGGUCAGGGAACUUUGUUUUGUGUCAAGGAGAUGAACCAGCCUGGGGCCAGCAGAGGCAGCCUCUCUGAACCUAUGUCAGUUGAGAUUCCUUUGGUUUUUAAGCAACAGAACCUGCGUCUGGCUAUGUCAGCACAAAAGAGGGUAUCUUGGAAAGGAACUAGGGCAGGUCAGAGAAUGGAAAGAAGCACAAACUCUGCACAGUUCAGAAAGGACAGGAAGCAGGGCAGGUCCAACUCCAGGAGCUUAUGGUCAGCCCCGCCCCCUAGGCCCCUGCCAGCAGGUGGCUUAGGUCCCCAGUGUCAAAUCGCAGGAGACAGAAUAGCUUGACAUUACCUCGGUGUGGGAAGCCCGAGAGACCAGAUCCUUCCUUCUCUCUGCCACCUCCUGUCAUCCAGGGCUCAUGCUCCGGCUAGGUUUAACUCAUUGGCUCUUUCCAUAUGGGUCCAGAUUCUGGAGCAAACAAAGCAAAGACUAAGUGUCCUUAGGACCAAUUCUGGGAGUUCCCUGGUGGCACAGUGGAUUAAGGAUCUGGUGGUGUUAUGGCUCGGGUUGCUGCUGUGGCGCAGGUUCAGUCCCUGCCCAGGGAACUUCCACAUGACUUCUGAAGAGGGGAAGGGUAAUGGGAGUGCCUGCAUCCUGCACCACUGAGGAUGGUAUCUGAAGGUGGCAGAAGCAAUAGUGUUCUGAGGAAAGAUGAGUGUUUUGCUCUCUGCCCUUAACACCAUCAUGGUGUCUUGGCUUACACAUAUUUUCCAAGCCUGGACUCCAGCCUCCUCUUAUGACAAUAUUCCAGUAAAUACAUUUUUUUUUCCUCUAAGAAA
rnacentral:lncRNA from 1 species